GUGAUCGCCUCGGCACCACAUAUACUAAAAUUGAAUGAUAGAAGAUUAGCAUGGCCCCUGGGUAAGGAUGACUGACAAAUUUGUGAAGCACUCCACAAUAAA